AACUGUGUGCAGAAAAUAAAAACCCAUAGAAGCGAAAAAAUUUUCAUGCUCGUUCACGUUAAAAUAUAAAUUAACAUUUUAUUAUUAAAAAAGUUAAAUUAAUUGAAUAUAAUCUAAAAAAAUAAUUUAGUGAAGUGUUUGUGUGAGAAUUCUCUAAAAAUAUAGAGUGAAAAAUGUGUAUUUGCUUGAAGAAAAUGAAGUUGAAAAAUGUAUUAUGUCUUUUUCGCUGAGGUCGCCAUUUUUAAUUUUUCUGUAUUAAAUUACCUUAAGAAAAAGAAAAAGCAUGAAAAAAAAGAAGAAAUUUUCAAAGAAAAUAGUUACAGAAAUUAAAGCAGAAAAAUUAAAUAAUUUCAAUAUUGUAAAACAAAAAAGUGAUUUUAAAGCGUUUAACACAACGAUUACUAAAAAACAUAAUACAAAAGUAAUAAAAAACCAUGAUGUCUUUUAAAGAAUUCAAAGCCACGGUUUCUACGGCUAGAGUGGCUGGACCACAAAAAGAAAUCAACACCAUAACAACUAAACCAACAGUUAAAAAUCACUCAGACAGCUCCAAAGAACACACAAAAUGUUUAACAUCAACAUCAAACACAACAUCGUCGUCGACAUCAUCUUCGACCUCAUCUUUGCCAUCAGCCUCCUCCACAACAAUGUUGCAACAAGAACAACAAGUGAAAAUGUGUAAACUAUUUACAUUUCUUGAAGAUACCUACCGCGAUAUACGCCGCUUCAAUUCAGGACUUUACAAGGAUUCCUACAGCACACAAUUAAUGCAAUCUAUUAAUAAAUAUAAAAAUGGCUGCAAUGAAAUCUUUGCUAAAGUUUUGGAGUCAAAUGACAUGAGUUUUAUGUUAUCACAAAAUAUUGUACGAACCAUUGACAUAUUUAAGGAGUUGGGUACAUGUUUGACAGAUAUGGAGGAAUACCAAUAUAGAAUAUGUGAGAUUAUGUCCAUAUUUAUAGUAUGUGAGCUAAGGCUUAGUGUGGAUGCUAAUCCCCAAGAACAGCUUUCAAUAGCGCAUCGUAUUAUUUACAUAAUGCGCAGACAUCUGGUACAGGAGGAAGAGCAAGAAACUCUUUACAAUAUCUUACGUACAUUGGUGUACAUACCAAAACUAUACAAUGCCCGGGAUAUAAUGUGUGCAAUAUUUGGUGAAUUUAUACCCAUAAAACCUGUGCCGGAAGUCAAUGUCUUGCCCGACAAAUUAUAUAUGUUGUACAUAAUUGUCUUCUAUCGCUGGAUGAUGAUGCAAAAGGAUGACGAUGAUAAAUUACUGAUUGUCAACUUUGCCGAAAGUUUUAUGAAACCUUCUGUAUCACUGUGUUCGAAUAAUUUAUAUGGCGCUUAUUUGCCCAUGUAUACCACCCAUAGUACAGCUACCCGUACAAUAUUAAAUAAUUUAAAAUUCUAUCGUGAUAUACGUAAUGCUUCAAUAAUAGAUAAUGCUCUCAAGAGUAUAGGAUCAAUAGUGAAUCUCUGUGAUGAUGAUGAUGAUGAGGAUGUAAUUGUGAUAGACUCCUCUCCAGCACCAGACUUUGCCAAAAUAUUUGCCUCUGCUCUGUUGGAGCCUUUAAAUGGUAGUUUAACGAACAUCAAACUGGAAGAGAAAACUGUUGUGGGCUUAGUUGAUUUGACAAUGGAGGAAGAGCCCUCAAAUUCUCAAAAUUCCAUAAUAGAGAGGCAUGAUAAAUGGUUGAAUGAAUUUCAACAAUUGGCCAAACAAUAUCGAGAAGCACAAUUACUAUUGGAGAAACAGCAACAUAAUCAACUGAACGCAAGCCGUGAAAAAGAAACUGUCAUAUGCCUGGACAGUGAUUCGGAGGAAGAGGCAGAGGAAGAGAUCUCAGCUGCUGCUAGUAAGGAAAAACCUGAAACAGCGGCAGCCGAAGAAGCAGCAGCUACACAAAAUAAACCAUGUGAAGAUUUAUUUAUUGAUAAUUAUCCGCUCACCAACACACCCAUUCACUGUGAUACCGAUUUAGAGUCUUUGGAUGAUGAUGAUAACGAUGAUGCCACAAAAAUAUCUUCAAGAUUUUUUACAGGUACUUUACGUACCUACCAGGCUAAAAAAACGACUCUAUCGGAAACAGAAGACACAAAUCAUUCAGAUGCUGAUGAGAGUAACAACAGAUCACUGACCAUGAAUAAUGCUUACCGAAGAGAUAGUAUACACAUAUCAUCUUCACCGCCUGAUGGUGUCGAUAAUGAGGAAGAUGAGGGCACCGAUGUACAAGACGAGCAUGAUGACGGCUUAUUGGAUGAAGAAGACGAGGAGGAGGAGGAGGAGGAAGAAGACAAUGCCUAUACGUUUUUGCCUACCACUAGUAAACAGACAGAAAGUGCAAUACGACCAAUGGGACCUUAUCCCACCUACAAUAAUAUGCAUAAUAAUAAUAAUAGCAAUAAUCAUAAUGAUAAACUAGUAUUAUCCCAGUCCCUGUCACGCUACCAGCCAGACAAACAAUAUUAUUCUGAUAGUUCGGAGAUAAAGGCACAUAGCAGGCAAAAGAAGAGAGUACAAUUCAAUACCAGUCCCUUAGGACCGACCGCUUCUAGUACGGCGAACCUUAAAAUGCCACUUAAACCAGCCCUCCAGCAACAAAAAUACAAAGCCGCCGAUGCUCCAGAAUACUUUCAUUUACGAGGUUUUGAACGUUUUCCCGGAGGUCUCAGUGUGGCUAGCUCAACAUCCACCUCAAUCUCCACCUCAACCUCAUCUUCAAUUAAACACCAAGAACAACAAGAACCUACAAAUCAAGAAUGUAUUAAAAAACGUGAAAUUAUAAAACCAACCAUUAAUAACGUAAAAGAUCACAAUAAUAAGUGUUCAAAUUUGUAUAAAAAUUUGUCAGUUUUUAAUCAAAAAUCUUUGAAUAUGAAUUUUAAACAGAAAUCCCUAAGAAAUGUUAAGAUAAAUUUGAAAAAACUAAAAUUAGAUAACGAUAUUUCAUUAACCAAUUUAAAAAGUAAUAAAUUUAGUAAGGAACAGCCACAUACAAUAACAUCAAAAACACUAACUAUAAUUAAUGAUAAUAAUAAUAAUUCUAAUUCUAAUACUAAAUCAAUCACUGACAAACGUACUGAGUCUUGUCAAUUGAAAACAAAUCCUAUUGCUAUCACAAGUAGCCAACCGAAUGACGAUAUAAUUUUUAAGAAACCUUUGCCUGUCACUAAAAAAGUAUUCAAAUCGCCAAAACCAAAACCUUUGAAAAUCCAUAAAGUUGUUUCGCUUAGAAAACAACCUUAUUAUGUUAAGCCUAAGGUAGCAAUUAAUUCGCAGCCAGAUGCAAAUCAAAUUAAAGUUUUAAAAAAUGAACCACCAGUUGUCGAGCAAGUUAAUAAUUUAAAUAUAGAAUUGCCAAUAACUGAGGAAGAUACCGAAAUGGAUGAUUUAUCAAAAAUAAGUAAGUUACUUACCGAUGAAAUUAAUAAUCUUACUUGUGAAACCAUCGAAAUGGUUAGGGAAACUAAACACACAAAUGAUUUACAGUUUAAUAAGGAAAAUAUAAUAAAGGAGAAAGCUAUUGCUGCUCAAAAUGUGACACCAUUAAUGGCUAAUGAGCCAUUAGUGUUACGAAAUGAAAAGGUAGUCAAGGAAAAAGAAAGUUCAUCUUCAACUAUGAAUUAUCAGGAAUCAAACCAAGAGUUGAUAAAUGAAAGUAAUGAAAACUUAAAAAUUUUAUCUAAGGAAAAUGUCACACAACCCCAAAUUUUGGGGGAAAAUGUUGUAGCAGAGAAACAAUCUAGUUGGCAAAAAGAGCCUGAAACAGAGAGUUUACUUGCAGAAUCUGAAGAAUUCAAAGAAACCUCUUUACAUAUAAAGGAUGAACUUGAAUAUAGUUUCAAUAACUCCAAACAGGAAGGGGAAAUUGUUAAAGAAAUUGCUGAAGAAAAUAAAAAUGAAAUGGAAGACUCUGUGAAUAAACUAACAAAUACGAAAGAUGGUAAUCUAAUGGAACAAACUGAAGAAACGCCAGCAUUAAAUGAACAAAACAUUACUACAAAAAUCCAAUCAGCCACAUUGGAGCCCAACAAUAACACUGAGGAGCAGAGCCCAGAAACUAUGCAAAAUUGUGACAAACUAGUGACUAAAUUUUGUGCCGAAUUCUUGGCUGGCCUGCCCAAUGAAGCCUCAACUCAUGCUCAAAAUGAGGUAGGUGGCGGCAGUGAGUGUGAGGCCAAAAAUGAUUUUGAUUUUGAAAAUCCGCGUUAUACACCGUAUCGUAUUGAUUUAGAUGUCAUGGCGGAAAAUACUUCCGAUGUGCCCUCAACAUUGCAAUUAACUCAAAUGCUCACAGAAGACUGUGAAGCUGACAAACUUUUGGAUGACUUUAAUCACAAAACUGAGAAUAUAGUGGGCUAUGUAUUAAAUAAAAAGCCUAAUCACACAGAUGCUAAUGAUGAUAAGAAAGUUACAGAUAUUGGCAAGGAAUCCCCAAAAAGAUUAAGAGAGCAGGAAGAGUUUAUGGACACUGAAGAAGAGUUUCGGGUUAAUGUAACGAAAAAAGCUAAAAUACAAACAUGUGAUAAUGAAAAUAAUGAACAUGAACAGAAUCCACAGAUUCCGCAGGAGUCGAACAUGGUAAAGACAAUUGAGAAGCGCAAGUUAAAUGAAGCUAAGAAAGCUACCACAAACAUUGUGGAUAUAGUCACAGAUCAUGUUGGGAACAAGGUUUCAUCUAUAACACCCAAAACUAAUAAUAAUGUGGAAGACACUCCAAAAUCUCUUAAAAAACUUAAAACUACUUUAACAAACCCAGAAAUCUCUCAUUUGGAAAUCAAAGAACAAACGCAAGAAAAGAAAUUGAAAAAAUUAAAUAAACCUUCAAAACCUCAGGAAAGAAUUGCCACACUCCCAAGGGAAAAACCAGAAGAGGAAUCUAAAGUGAAAUCUCAAAGUGAGGAAAGCUCUCUUAAUGUUAAGGGCAGCAAUAAAAUAGAAAAUAACUCUGAGUUGGCCGCAGAACAUAACUGUAAAGCUGAAACGAUUCCUCAACAAAUGGAAGCUUCCAUUGAUGAAAAUCAACACAUGACCUUAGAGCUGGGCAAUUGGAACAAGGAAUUGGAAAAUCAAACCAAGACCAGUGACUCUGAAACGGGCAGUGUUUCAGCUAUAUUCUCUUUUCCAAAAAUACCCAUUAUUUCCAUAUCAAUAUGUACUACACCUAACAACAAGACUUAUUUCAAAAUAUCUAACCGUGAAAAUGAUAAACAACUUAAAGAGGCGGUUGGGAAAUCAAAGAAAGCUAAAAGUUUCCAGCAAGACCCUGAAACGGAAAGUAAAAAUGAAGAGAAACCUGUUAGCACAGCUGUGCAACAUGAUCCUGUUGAGGACUUGAAUGAGGAAGAUGAAGAGGAAGCUGAGCUGGAUGAGGAGGAAGAAGAUGAGCCGGAGGAGGAAUGUGAUAUGGAAAUUGAAAAGUUUUCUCAAGAUUCCAAUUCAGCCUGUUCGCUGCCUUUGAAAAAGAGACCCACACAAGCUGAACAGAAUUCAGAUGAAACUGAAGAUUCUCAAAAUGUUCUGGUGGCAAGCUAUGAACAACCUCAAGAAAUAGCAGCUGAGGUGGUAAUAGAAGACAAACCUUUAAAGGAGGACAACAUUUGUUCUCUGCAAAUAUCACCGGAAAUAAAAGAAAACAAUGAAGUAUUACAACUACAACAGGAAACUAACAAAAAUGUAGAAUCUGAAAAUCAGCAUAACAUUUUGAUCCCUGAGGUCGAUGAUAAUAAACCUUCUACUAGUGCUGCUAGUCUUAAAAAACUAGCUGAUCCCUCUUCACCGUUCAAAAGACGUGUUCAUAUACCCAUACGUCCCAUAGGACAGCCACCCAUACAGAUUGUAGCUCCACAAUUAAAAGAUAACACUCCCUCUCCCAUUCAGGAUAACAGACCAAUCGAAAUACAAGUUCCUAGUGUACAACGUAUACAAACACAAAAUACCCAACCUCUGCCGGAAUCAUAUCCCGCCACACCCAUGCUAAGUGUGGCUAAUGUAGAGAAAUUAAUGGACCUAAAUCGCUUCAUAGAAGAUCUCUUGGCUUCGCCAGAUGUCAUGACCAUUAUAGAUAAUGCCAAUGCUUGCGGCUACUAUGCCGAGGGCCAAGCUUACGAAAUGGAACGUAUUGCUAUAUUGGAGCACUACAAUAUAGCUAAUGCCAAGGGCAAUACCUCUGUAACCAAGCCUUUGUAUUGGAAGAAAAGUGCCGGCGAUACUAUUUCUAUUUUCAAUGACAACGAUAAUGAAUGGAUUGCCUUGCCACCCUCCACGGCCAAGCAAUUGUUAAAGUUAUCAUUUGUUUUGUCCAUCCUACAGCAGCAGUAUAAAGUCAGUGAUGUGCGUCAACGCAUUAAUAUUGCGCUCACCUUUCUCAUACAGACCUCCUAUACUUCGAAAUUUAAAAAUAAUACAAAUGCCGCAAAUUCCUUGCAACAGCGCAUGCAAAUCUAUUCCAGAAACAUAUCAGAUGCCACCAACUCCGGCCAUAGUAUAUUGCAACCAUUGCCCUCAACCUCGUAUUUCCGAAUUGCCACUAAUAAUGAGGCUUUAAAUACAAACUUUAAUAUGAAUUCUAAUAUGGAGUCGGUGCAAGAUAUACACUCCACUAACUACUCCAAUAGCCAGCAGCAGGCGGAGAUGGCUAUAACACAUGAGCCAGCUGCUGGUAGUAAUCAUAGUUGGAAUAAUUUAAUGCAGUUGGCUAGUCCGGCAACAGGACAAGUUAUUGAACAACCGAAUACCACAAACAGUCCUCAGAGACAAACCUCGAAUAACGGGGAAAAUGAACAAUCACAAGUCCAAAAUCAAGCACCAGAUAAACGUAACCCCUCAUGGGAAGAACUAAACAACGAUCAGUUGUAUAUUAAUCCUCCCUGUGCCACCAGUCCACAAAAUGAGGUAAUUGUCAAUACAAAUGGUGUGGAAUUACAUGAAAUGCCACAGAAUUUUCAAGAUCAACAAAAUAUUUUCAUUUCAAUAACUGAUGAAUCUGGUCCAGAAACCGGUUCGCUGCACAAAUAUAAUACCAGACAACAGCAACAGCAGCAGCAGCAACAUCUUCGAAAUUUAGAAGAUUCAGAACCGUCUACCUCACAGCAACAAUUAUAUACUAAACGAUCCUGCUUGGGCAAUAAUAAUAAUGUUAAUAAUGUACUGCAAAAUCAUUUUGCACGCAACAACAUCAUAUCCACGUUUGGCAAUCAAGAAAUAAAUUUACAAAAUCCCUAUCGCAUGCAACAAAAUCAGCAACAAAAGCAGCUACAUCACCAACACCAACAGCCACUUACAAAUCAAAUUCUAAAUACUAGCGCCAAUACAAAUUUCCCACAACGCAAUACAUCACCACAGAAUAUAACACACAAUUUACCCAUUAAUAUCUAUAAUAAUAACAACAAUAACCGAACAAACCCAAAACCUUUAGCGCAACAGCAACAUCGUAUGACCACCAGAUAUAACUCCUCUACUCAGUCGCCAGCAUCUCCUCCACGAAACACUUCAACAGCCCAAGAAUCAAAUUACAAAGACAUUCUACAACCCUAUAUAACCUAUUUGAUUAAGGACCACGAAAAGACCUCUAAACAUUUAUUGCAAGUUUUCGAAGAAGUUUCCCAAUCACAUCCCUCCUCUACUGAGCAAAACAGCAGCAACAAUUUCACAAAGCCGCAACAACAGCUUCAACAAUUCCACAGUUUGUUACCACCUCUAAUACGUAAUCCCCAACAAAAUCAUAUGCCAGGUUUGCAUCAAAUCCCAGGUAGCAGUGGCAGUAUGUUGCCUUCGUUAAUAAGAAACCCACAUCAGAGUACACUGCCCAAUAGAGAUUCGGGAGCUUUACAGGUAGUACAAUCAUUCAUAGAACAGUCUCAAACCACAUUUGAUAAUGUCCAGCAACUGCCCUCAACUAUUAGAAAUCCUGGUUUUGCCAAAGAAUAUGUUAAUUUUGUGGACUAUAGAGAUGAGGUAUUGCAAAAAGAAAAAAUACGACUAUUGAAUAAAGAGCAACAGCAAUUGAAUGAAAAUCUUGCGGCGCAACAGCGUAAGGAGUCACAACAGCGACGACGGCUGUAUCAACGGAAACAACAGCGUCAAGAGUCACAACGCUUGAACAGCGUUAAGCGCAAGUGUCAAGAAAGAAAUGAUAAAUUAGCUGAAGAUUUGAAACGUAAAAUGAUGGAAUUUUCCCAACUCAAGCACAAUGUACAAGUCAAACUAAUAGAAAAACAAAAAGACGAUUUGAAACAAAUGGAAAACAACACCAACACCACCACCACCACCCCUACCACGCUGAAAGCCAAACGACGUGGCAGACCUAAAAAGAAUAUUAACAAUUUAAUUGCAGCAGAUAGUUCGGUAAAAGUAGUGGCAUCAUUAACUAAUAGCGACUCUAGUUGCGAGUCCAACAGCACCUCCCCUAGCUCUAGCACUAAACGUCAGACACAAACCUCAGCUCGAGUAACCAGACGUAAUCAAGUUAAUAAUGAUUUAACGACUAUAGAUCAUGCUUACUUUCGUCAACGCUCGGCAGCGCGAGAAGCCUGCAAACGCAUAAAUGCCUCAGUUAAUAAUUGUUUUCAGUAAGUUGCAACUUUCCACAUUUGAUAUUUGUGGCAACUAUUUAAUACAUAACUGUAUGAGCAUUUUGCGGGCCAAAAAAGACAGCAAAUUAUCACAAAUAAAAACAAAUUAUUUAUCGUCCAAAAAAAAUUUCAAAUUUUGAAAUGUGCGAUGAAUAUAAACAAAAUCUGAAUACCUCAGGUCAAAGAUCAAAUGUUACAUUUUAUAGAACUUUGUUAUUCCAUUUAUAAUUUCUACAUUUUUCAUUUUCUCAACUUUCCGAAGUUCACAAAUAGCAUACAUAUGUGAUAGAUACAUCAGUAUAUCCGCUAUAGUCCAACAUAUAUUGGUAUAUAAAAUCGACAAAAUCGUGCCAUAAAUUUUUUUUAAAAAAAAAAUACCAAAAUUAGUUUUCACUAAAAAUAUUAUUUUCUAUUAAAGAAAUUAUUUAUCUUUAUUUUCGAAAAUAUUUAUCUUUGUUUUCGAAAAGGAUUAAAACUUAAAAACCAUCAAAAACUUACAAAAAACUUGACGUAUAUAAACAAAAGCUGAAUAUCUUAUUAAUUUUUUGAAUAAAAUUUAAUGAAGUUUAUAAAAAUUUGCUUUGGCAUAAACGAAUAACACGUAAAUGAUUGGAAAACUAAAAGUUUUGAAUAAAAUCGAAUGAAAUUUAUACAAAUUAGCUUUGGCAUAAACGAAUAACAUGUAAAAGGUUGGAGAAUUGGGUUUAAACAAGAUUUGAAAAUCAUUUAAAAACAAUCAAUGAAGUCUGAAUACAUGAGGCCAAAGGUCAAAUGAUAAUUAUAAAAAUUUGUUCUGGCAUAAACGAAUACAAUGUAAAACAUUGGAUAAUUGGUUUUCAAAAGCAUUUGGAAAUCAUUUAAAAACAAAAGGUCAAAGGUCAAAUGACAGUUAUACAAUUUGCUUUCGAAUAACUUACAAAAGUUUGAGGAAUUGGUUUUAAAAAAGAUUUGGAACACAUUUAAAAACAAUCAAAAUAUUUUGUUGGAUUUUGGAAAAAAAUGGAUUCAAAUUGAAAACUCAGUACAUUAUUAUGGCUGUAACUUAUGAAAUUCUUAAUUAACUGUGAAAAGCAUCUAGAAGAUGUACUUAAUUUUUUUUAUAAUAAUUUCUCAUCAAAUUUGGUUGGUGUUCAUAAUUUCUAUUUGAAAUAGAUUUUAAUAUUAAGCCUUUUUGAUAUUGCUUUUAAUCUUGAUUUGGUAUAUCAGUGUUUGAGAGUAUGUAUGUGGUUGUUAUAUUGUAAUUUCUUUUAAAAAUAAAAAAGAAAAAAAAUCAUUUUCUUUAAAAUUUUUCUUUUCAUUUUAUUUUUUGAAUUAUAAUUUUUGAAUUUCUUAAUUUUUUUUAUUUUGUGUAACAUGCAUGAAUUUUUUUUUCAAGUUUUGUUUAUAAGCUUUCUAAUACUGUAGACAGACGAUAGAGUUAAUUUGCAUUAACAGCACACUAAUGUGAAUUAAAAUUUAAAUAUAUAUAACAUUUGACAAUUACAAAAAAUUCAUUGAAUACUUUUUUGAAAAAUAUGAAAAAAAAAUGUUUUUUGCAAAUUGAAUUAAAUUUUUAUUUAUGAAUAUUUUUUAAUGAAAUUUUACAGUUAUUUAUUAUCAGGAAUCCUGCAAUUCCAAAAAAAAAGUGUUGAAAAAUCCCAAAAAUUGAAUUUUUUUUUGUGUUUUUUUGGCUAUAAAUCCAUACCAGGGCGGGGUGAUUAUCGGAACCUUUUACAAAAUAAUUAAGAACAUAUUUGGCCAUCUAAAAUGGGUUACUAUAUUUUGAUAUCGACUAUGCGAUUUUAAAAUGUUUGUCCUAAACUUGAAUUUAACAUAAAAAAUAGGCGUUUUUUUGAAUGGACCUGGUCUCCUCGGUAUCAACAAUUUUCAAUUUUUGUUUUCAUUUUAAAUAUUUGGUGAAAAGUUAGCUUUACAAAAAGUAUAAAUUUCUUAAAAAUCCAAUAAAGGAAAAUUGGAAAUACUUGGAUCCUCUGUUAUCAACAAAUUGGUGUAGGGUGGGUAAAAAUUUUGAAAAUUUAAUUUUAAAAUGCUGUAAGAUAUAAUUGAUAGUUUUUUUAUAUAUAGAUUUGCUUGAAAUUGAAACACAAAGGAAGACAUAGGAUCGUUUUAAAAAUGUGGCCGCGCCCCUGGUGAGCCCACGUGGUCCAAAUUCAAAACUAAAACUCUACAACACUUACUCCUUGCGAGUGUGAAAUUUCAUUCAGCUUUAUUUCUCUCCUUUUUUUCUAUUCUACUGUGUUACGUUUUCAUUUACAAUAGUAAACAAUUUUCCUACAGCUGAUUGAUUGUCGACGGUAUUGCCCUAUUGAAAUAGCUGAAUUCAGUAUAAAUUCAGUUUGAUUUUGUGUAUUUACGUCAAAGCUAAUGCGCAUUAGGAUGGGGAUAAUUCACAAGUUAAUUUGAAUUAAGACUGCUUGCUAAUGCAAAUUAACGCUGUCGUCUGUCUAAGCCAUAAGCGUUUAAAUGUUAUUGAAUUGAAUUUGUUUUAUUGGAUUUUAAAUGGAAAAUAAAACAUUGAAACGCUUUAAACAGCUGAAUAAACAAAAUUAAUUUGUAAAUUUAUACAAAUAAUUGCAAAAGUUUGUUAUAAAAUGUUAUGAACCAGUAUUCAAAAGAUUUGGGUUUCAUGCAUUCCUAAAACUAUUUGGUAUUUAAUUUAUACAUAUGUAAUGUAAUUAAGAAAUGAAAAAUAAAAUCAAAAAUUUUUGGCGGGCUGCAUUUUGCAAGAAUCAACAUUUUAAUAAUGAAGAACAACAAGCAACAUACUAUAGUGAUGAGCAACAAUCAACAUAUCCACAUCAAAUGGCUGUACGCUGUGAAACAGCAGGAGCUAUAACAAACGGAUACAAUGUGCUGCAGCUGUCCUGUUACCACACAACAAUCAACAUACUAUUUGAAAGGGAAGAGUCUUCAAUCAACAUACACAUCAAGCAACAAAAUAUUCUUUUAAAAAAAGAAACCACAAUCAACAUACCCUAAGAUGAAAGAACAUCAAGCAACACAAAAUAUUACUUUUUUUAAAAAAAAAGAAACAACAAUCAACAUACCCUAAGAUGAACAUCUAGCUACACAGAAACCACAAUCAACAUACCAAUUGGAAAUUUUGGAAUUAAAAAUUCCUUGACUACCAUAACACUGGAAUGCAUUUUGGAAAAUAUUCAACCAUCAAAAAUGUUUUUUUUUCCUAUAAAUCGAUUUUGUAUAAAUAACAAAUAAUUUUAACAUUUAUUUUUUUUUGUUUUUGAAAUUUCAAAUUUCAUAAAGUAUUUAAAAACUGACAAACCUUAAAAUCCUUUAAAUAUUUACUUCAAUCUUCAAAACAAAAAUGCACUUAAUUUAAGAAACCAAAAACCCAAAUCAACUCAACUCAUGGAACCAAUCCAAACCUUAAACUUCUACAAAUAAUUGAGCACUUAGCGGCAGCAGCAACAUUAUUUCGUAAUAUAUUUGAUAGACCCCGGGUGCCCUACCCUUAUCCUGCGUCAUUUUCACCCUCAUCGUCGUCGUUAUCGUCACCCAAGACAUCCAGACUACCCAAA